ACCAUAUUCAUAAAGGAUGUCGUUUAGGACAAUAUUUAAGUCAAACAUUGGGAAUAUAAAUCAUGAAUAACUCUUAAGUUGUUGAGUUUAAAAAUGUAAAAAUUAUAUGUAUAGAUUUGUUUUGAAAAAUAUUUUCAUAAAAGUAUACAUAUAUAACUUUUCAAUAAAUAUUUUUAUAGAAAUAAGAAGUCAAAGUUGUGUUUUGGAGAACGUGUCGCUGUCCUAAACGACUUCCUUUACGAGUAUGGAGGGGUAGUAGCUAUGGCCAGUAAAGAUCCAACCACCAGCUUGCAUGUGCUUGAGAUGUACUGCACGCUUGCUGAUCCCUAUCACCAUCUACAAUGAGAAUAAUAAGAGCAAUCCAUGAGAAUUGGUCUAGACAGUUUUUACAAUAGAAGGUAAAUAUGCCCACAAAAUAUAUAGAGAAGUUGGUUAGGGAAGCAUGACUAACUCAAAAAACUAAAAUAUGUAUGGCUGUAAAGUAGGGAGAAAUGGUGUUUCCAUACGUUGGCACAAAACAAAAUAACUUAACUAAAAUACCUUUCAUUUGUAUCACAAAGAACUAAACUGCAUUUUAAUAAUUGACCUAGUGAAAACUUAAUAUGUGGUAGAAAAACAACAGAUCAUGUAGCUACUGAAAUAUGGCUAUCGUUCCAUAUUGAGAAGGAAAUUAUUGCUCAGGUUAAGCCUCUAUCAUCUUACUGUGCUUGGUUCUUCAACUGAUAGCUUCAUUAUUUUUUUUCAUGAGCUGAGGACAGUGGGUUGCCCCUCUCAACAAAAGUAGGAGUUUUGUUUUGCAAGAAGAUAAUUUGUUCCAUCUGAUUGCAUAGGAUCUGUCACCUCACUUGUCUCAAGAUAAAGAACAACUAAGACAUAAAUAUAAAUCAUGGAUGUUGUAUACAAAAGAACAAUUUUCAUGAACUCCUAUCCAAAAAGUAAGAACACUUGCUAUAACAACAGGAUAUUUUGUAAAGAAAUAGGAAGAACAUGGAGCCGAUGGCAACUAUAUUAGUGGUACAUGCGCUCAUGUGAAAUCAAGGAAAACUAAUGUACUCCCACAUUCUAGCAUUUCCCACAUUAUAUGUCUAGAUUCAUUAGCAUCAAUAUGAAUGUGGAAAAUGCUAGAAUGACUAUAUGUAUAUAUGUCUAGAUUCAUUAGUAUCAAUAUGAAUGUGGGAAAUGCUAAAAUGACUUACAUUGUGAAACGGAGGAAGUAUAUAGACAACCCAUCAUAGAAUGAAGAAGCGCAUCUAGAAUUUCUCAUAGGAUCUCUUUAAAAAAAAAUCAAAGCUGAACACAUGUUGCAGAGCCUUUCAUGUGGGUCUGAACUUAUCGCACAAUCAUUUAUGAAUAUUCUUCAUUUGUAUCUUGUACAUAUAAAUUGGAAGACCUACAAACUAUAACUGUCACUUUGUCAAAUAGGUUGUUGCUUUCUCAUAGGUGGGACAGAGCAUAUACUUGACAUUUGACAUCAUGAUGAAUUAAGCCUAAAUCAUUUUGCUGAAAUAGAAUAGAACAUUACUCUGGAAGUUUGGAUACCUCAAUAUAAUUCAAAUGCAAGCACCUGCAGUUGCUGAAAGUGAGAUGUCUUGUUCAUUUUCCAAAAUGAUGGUCAUUCAAUAGUUUGUCGAUGAGAUAAACAUUGCAUGAUUGUAAUAUGCUGCAAAUUAAAAACAUGAUGAACCAAAACUUAGUUGAUUUGAAAAUUUGAUAUGGCAACUAAAGCAAAUAUGAAAGUACUGGAUUAAGGAGCUGAUUUCUACAACUUCCAUAUACAAAGAAUGGCAUUAUCUGCCAUGUAAAUGGGGUGAAAACCCUCUGCAAGUUGACAGAUCAAGUUAUAGUUGAACUGCAAUACACAGACUUCUUAUCAGAAGUUACCUCUGUCCUUAAACUUGAUACCUGCAACUUUGCAGUUUUUCACAUUCUCUGAUUUGGACUUCAGAGAUUGCAAAUAUCAGCUAGAUGUAAAUUGCAUACUAAGAAAAGAAAAUCAUAUAAUUGAAAUUAGGAUGAAGCAUGAACCAAUCACCUCAUAAAUUGGAAUGUGGUCUGAAUAUAAAUACAUAAUGUAGUCUCUGAAAACUGCAUCAGAGUAGCACAAUCUUUUGCCCAUCUUUUCCCCUAGUUCCUCUAUUGUUCCCUUCUCACUUCAAUUCCAUUGGAUCUAGCAGUAGCACAAUGGGAUCACCCUCUUCAGUAGGAUUAGCUGUAAGGAAAAAAAAAAGAAAGAGGGCAGCCGCUAGCAUACCUCUCGUUUGGGUGGCUGGAUCUUCCGAUGUGGCAACGACGGCUAGAAAAGCGCAGUGGCGGCGGCGGCGUCGACGACGGCGGUAGUGACGGCGGCGGUGACGUCAUGGCAGCGGCGGCGACGUCGUGGCAGCGGCGGCGGUGGCGACAACGGCGAUGACGGCGUAUGCGAGGGGAGGAGAAGGAUGAGGGAGCAGGCCGGCGCGCGUGAGGGAGGAGGAGGCGAGGCGGCGCACUUGCGCGGCUGCGGGUGAAGCGAGGCUAGGGUUUGGUGCAGGCUG
rnacentral:lncRNA from 1 species